GGAGAAUGGUUACUUUUUGCAAGUCAUCCUUGCGCAGGAGCCAUGCAAUCUUCUCUGUAUUGUUCCAACUUUAGUGUUUGUUCAGGAAUGAAC